UAACGCGUGGAUAACCUGCCUUACACUGGGGGAUAACACUUAGAAAUAGGUGCUAAUACCGCAUAAGCGCACAGAGCCGCAUGGCUCAGUGUGAAAAACUCCGGUGGUGUAAGAUGGAUCCGCGUCUGAUUAGCUGGUUGGCGGGGUAGAAGCCCACCAAGGCGACGAUCAGUAGCCGGCCUGAGAGGGUGAACGGCCACAUUGGGACUGAGACACGGCCCAAACUCCUACGGGAGGCAGCAGUGGGGAAUAUUGCACAAUGGGGGAAACCCUGAUGCAGCAACGCCGCGUGAGUGAAGAAGUCAUUCGUGAUGUAAAGCUCUAUCAGCAGGGAAGAAAAUGACGGUACCUGAGUAAGAAGCCCCGGCUAACUACGUGCCAGCAGCCGCGGUAAUACGUAGGGGGCAAGCGUUAUCCGGAUUUACUGGGUGUAAAGGGAGCGUAGACGGCCAGACAAGUCUGAAGUGAAAAUCCAGCGCUUAACGUUGGAAGUGCUUUGGAAACUGCCGGGCUAGAGUGCAGGAGGGGCAGGCGGAAUUCCUAGUGUAGCGGUGAAAUGCGUAGAUAUUAGGAGGAACACCAGUGGCGAAGGCGGCCUGCUGGACUGCAACUGACGUUGAGGCUCGAAGGCGUGGGGAGCAAACAGGAUUAGAUACCCUGGUAGU
rnacentral:rRNA from 1 species